rnacentral:rRNA from 1 species
AUUGAACGCUGGCGGCAUGCUUUACACAUGCAAGUCGGACGGCAGCGCGGGCUUCGGCCUGGCGGCGAGUGGCGAACGGGUGAGUAAUACAUCGGAACGUGCCCAGUAGUGGGGGAUAGCUCGGCGAAAGCCGGAUUAAUACCGCAUACGACCUGAGGGUGAAAGCGGGGGACUUUAGGGCCUCGCGCUAUUGGAGCGGCCGAUGGCGGAUUAGCGAGUUGGUGGGGUAAAGGCCUACCAAGGCGACGAUCUGUAGCUGGUCUGAUAGGACGACCAGCCACACUGGAAGGGAGACACGGAGCAGACACCGACGGAAGGCAGCAGUGGGGAUGAGUGGAAAAGGGGUGGAAGCCGGAGCCAGCAAUAGCGAGGGGGCAAAGAGGGCCUGCGAGUGGUAAAGCACGGUUGUGGGGAAAGAAAAACAGCAGGUUAAGACCCCGCUGUGCUGACGGUACCCAAAGAAGAAGAACCGGCUAACGUCGUG